rnacentral:rRNA from 1 species
GCAUAUCAAUAAGCGGAGGAAAAGAAACCAACAGGGAUUGCCCUAGUAACGGCGAGUGAAGCGGCAACAGCUCAAAUUUGAAAUCUGGCUUCGGCCCGAGUUGUAAUUUGCAGAGGAAGCUUUAGGCGCGGCACCUCCUGAGUCCCCUGGAACGGGGCGCCACAGAGGGUGAGAGCCCCGUAUAGUUGGAUGCCUAGCCUGUGUAAAGCUCCUUCGACGAGUCGAGUAGUUUGGGAAUGCUGCUCAAAAUGGGAGGUAAAUUUCUUCUAAAGCUAAAUACCGGCCAGAGACCGAUAGCGCACAAGUAGAGUGAUCGAAAGAUGAAAAGCACUUUGAAAAGAGGGUUAAAUAGCACGUGAAAUUGUUGAAAGGGAAGCGCUUGUGACCAGACUUGCGCCGGGCUGAUCAUCCGGUGUUCUCACCGGUGCACUCUGCCCGGCUCAGGCCAGCAUCGGUUCUCGCGGGGGGAUAAAGGCCCUGGGAACGUAGCUCCUCCGGGAGUGUUAUAGCCCGGGGCGCAAUGCCCUCGCGGGGACCGAGGUUCGCGCUCUGCAAGGAUGCUGGCGUAAUGGUCAUCAGCGACCCGUCUUGAAACACGGACCAAGGAGUCAAGGUUUUGCGCGAGUGUUUGGGUGUAAAACCCGCACGCGUAAUGAAAGUGAACGUAGGUGAGAGCUUCGGCGCAUCAUCGACCGAUCCUGAUGUUCUCGGAUGGAUUUGAGUAGGAGCGUUAAGCCUUGGACCCGAAAGAUGGUGAACUAUGCUUGGAUAGGGUGAAGCCAGAGGAAACUCUGGUGGAGGCUCGCAGCGGUUCUGACGUGCAAAUCGAUCGUCAAAUCUGAGCAUGGGGGCGAAAGACUAAUCGAACCAUCUAGUAGCUGGUUACCGCCGAA